AAACUCUGCAGAAAUAAUAAAGCCAUUUCAACUUUAGUUGCUGAACAUUUUGGAAUACGUCUACAAUUGGAAUUGAAAUGGGACUAAAAUUGUUUAUAGUUUUGGCUAUAAUUACGAAGACCUCACUUGCGUGGCCAUGUAAGACCAGAGAACGAUGUAGCAAAACUUGUCAAAAUAUGGCAGGCUACGAAAUUAACAAGAGGUAUACCUAUG